GCGGCGGACGGGUGAGUAACACGUGGGUAACCUGCCUGUAAGACUGGGAUAACUUCGGGAAACCGGAGCUAAUACCGGAUAGUUUCUUUUCUCGCAUGAGAGAAGAUGGAAAGAUGGCUUCGGCUAUCACUUACAGAUGGACCCGCGGCGCAUUAGCUAGUUGGUGAGGUAACGGCUCACCAAGGCGACGAUGCGUAGCCGACCUGAGAGGGUGAUCGGCCACACUGGGACUGCGACACGGACCAGACUCCUACGGGAGGCAGCAGUAGGGAAUCUUCCGCAAUGGACGAAAGUCUGACGGAGCAACGCCGCGUGAGCGAAGAAGGCCUUCGGGUCGUAAAGCUCUGUUGUUAGGGAAGAACAAGUACGAGAGUAAUGUGCUCGUACCUUGACGGUACCUAACCAGAAAGCCACGGCUAACUACGUGCCAGCAGCCGCGGUAAUACAUAGGUGGCAAGCGUUGUCCGGAAUUAUUGGGCGUAAAGCGCGCGCAGGCGGUCCUUUAAGUCUGAUGUGAAAGCCCACGGCUCAAACGUGGAGGGUCAUUGGAAACUGGGGGACUUGAGUGCAGAAGAGGAGAGUGGAAU
rnacentral:rRNA from 1 species